rnacentral:rRNA from 1 species
GCCUUCGGGUGAUUAUAUACCAUAUUUUAGAGAGUUUGAUCCUGGCUCAGGACGAACGCU